rnacentral:rRNA from 1 species
GACGAACGCUGGCGGCGUGCUUAACACAUGCAAGUCGAACGGUGACGAGGAGCUUGCUCCUCUGAUCAGUGGCGAACGGGUGAGUAACACGUGAGCAACCUGCCCCAGACUCUGGGAUAACAGUUGGAAACAGCUGCUAAUACCGGAUACGAGACGGAGAGGCAUCUCUACCGUCUGGAAAGUUUUUCGGUCUGGGAUGGACUCGCGGCCUAUCAGCUAGUUGGUGAGGUAAUGGCUCACCAAGGCGACGACGGGGUAGCCGGCCUGAGAGGGCGACCGGCCACACUGGGACUGAGACACGGCCCAGACUCCUACGGGAGGCAGCAGUGGGGAAUAUUGCACAAUGGGCGAAAGCCUGAUGCAGCGACGCCGCGUGAGGGAUGAAGGCCUUCGGGUUGUAAACCUCUUUCAGCAGGGAAGAAGCGAAAGUGACGGUACCUGCAGAAGAAGCACCGGCUAACUACGUG